UCCUUUCUUUUUUUUUCUCCCCUUCAUCUCUCUCUUUUUGCUUCAGAUCUGAAUCCUAGGGAAGCUCCGCGAGCUUCGGCCCCAGGAGCGAGCGGUGCGGAGCGCUAGCGGCAGGGGAGGUGCGGCGCGACGGCAGGAUUCUCGAGCGGCGGCGGCGGCGUCUCCAGUUGGUGGAGCUCCGCGAGCGGUGCGGCGCGACACCGGCCUUCCUCAGGAGGCGCGACGGCCUUUCAAGGGAGCCGUGACAGCGGCGGCAGGGACCUCCCCGGGCGCUCGCCCCUAGCGGCGGCGGCGAGCUUCACGGGGGUGUGAUUCUGGUUUCGCGGCUAUUCGUAUCUACUGUAGGGGGUGGGGGUGUUACAGAUCAAGUUAGACUGCAUAUAAAAAGUAGAGCACCAGUAUCGUCGGUACGGAUUCAUGUAGAUGGAUGACAAUACUAAUUCGGAAGGUGUCCGGUCAAGUAAUGAAGCUAAAAGAUCGAAGCAAACCUCCAGAGAAGAUGAACACACAAGCACCUGUGAUGGCGGCUCUUCAAGAGCGGCAGUGCCAAUGAAUUUGGAAGGAUGUUCAGUAUGUGCCCCCCAUCAACAACUGCUGUUAUUUUUGUUUUUGUUUUUUCAUGCCGCUACAUAUGGCCUUAGGAGACCUUAGCAAUAAAUUUAUAACAAGGUUUAUAUCAGAGACCUUAGCAGUAAAGUUUUUUUAUGUGUUAGUUAAUUUUUUAUAUGGAUAUGUUCUGUAUCUGGCGGCCAUCUUUUUUUUUUGGUUGAUAACUUUUGACCAAUUUUUUUCACCUUUUAUAUCAUCACAAAAAGCUUUUUCAUCUACCAAAAUUCCCCCUGUAAAAAGUUUUCAUGUAAAAGUUAUACGGUACUAUGUUAUCACUUCGACAAUGACAAAAAUUUUUGCUUCUGUUCACACAAACUUUUAUACCAUCCAUGUUCAACUUUUGUAUUUGGUAAAUUUUUCAUCAAAAAGUUUCUCCACUAAACUUUUUCUCACACCUUCAACAUAAUUUAUUUCUUUGCAACAAAAUUUUGUCUCUCGCGUCAGUUAAUUUUUUUAUGGACAAGUUCUGUAUGCAAGGGCAGAAGUUUUCUUAGCAUUUUCAGCACCAUAGAAGUGUCUCAAAAGUUUUGCAGCUAUAAUUUUUUUCUAUGAACAAGUUCUUUCUGAUGAGUAUAGUUCAAUGGACAUUUUUCUUUCUACUCAUUUUUUUUAUGCACCAAAAUUUAAAUCUACUAGUAUCAUGACAAAGCAAUUGCAUAUUAUUCUGAGGCUCAUUCCAACAAAAACCAUAUUCAGGUUUUUUUUGCAUAUUACUUAAAUUUAUUUUUUUUCUCCUAUAUAAUUGAAUUCAUUUUUUUGUUUCUCAAAAUACAACCCAGCUCUGACAAUAUUACUUAAAUUUUAUUUUUUCCCUAUAUAAUUGAAUUGAAUUCAUUUUUUCUCCUAUAUAAGUUUUUUUAUUCAAAAAAUUUAUGAUAAAUAUUUUUUCUCUUAAAUUUUUUCAUUCCAAAAUUUUAUGAAAAAUAUUUUAUUCUUUUCUCAGAAGCAUUUUUUCAGUAGUGACCAUGAUAAAUAUUUUUAUUAUCUUAAACUUUAUGCAAGUUUGAAAAUAUUUUUUUCCUAUUCUUUUUCUUCUGAGUUUUUGUUUGCGGAUAGAACUUAUUAUGAUAAAUAUUUUUACUAUGCAUAAUCUUUUCAUUUUGAAAUCUUUUUUCUGCCUCAUAAAGUUUUCUGAUACAUUUUUUUAUUCUCAGCUUAACAUAAAAUUCUUUUUGCCUAUAUUUAUCGUUUGCAGAAAUUUAGCUACAAUUCUCACUUGCGAAGAUGACUAGACUUGUUGGUAGACUGUCAAAAGUUCAGAAAGAGAUUGUUACAUCCUGUGGAUUUGGGUCAUUACUUGCUCUUAGCUGCUCAUCCAUCCCAAACAAUCUAGUAAUUUGGCUGGCAAAACAUUAUGAUUCCAGAUCCAAGUCUGUAAAGCUUCCAGGUGGCAUACUCGUUCCAACUGAUUAGGGUCCGUCACGUCAACCUGCCAUACUCGGCCCAACUGAUUAGGGCCAGUCACGUCAUCCUGCCAUACUCAGCCCAACUGAUUAGGGCCAAUCACGUCAUCCUACCAUACUCGGCCCAACCAGUUAGGGUUUUUAGGGUUCGACUUCAUUACCAUAUGUCUUGAUUUUUAGUAUAUUUGAAGGUUGACUUGCCAUAAUUGGCUCAACUGAUUAGGGUCAGUAACGUCCACCUACCAUACUCGGCCCAAUUGAUUAGGGUUAGUCAUGUCAUCCUGUCAUACUCGGCCCAACUGAUUAGGGCCAAUCACAUUAUCCUACUAUACUCAGCCCAACGAGUUAGGGUUGUCUGGGUUUUAGUGUUCGACUCAAUCAUCAUAUCCUGUCAUACUUGGGUUUUAGUAUUGACUUGCCAUACUUGUCCCAACUGAUUAGGGCCAAUCACGUUCUCCGGCCAUACACGGCGCAACUGAUUAGGGCCAAUCAUUAUCAACCAGCCAUACUCAUUCCAACUGAUUAGGGUCCGUCACGUCAACCUGCCCUACUCGGCCCAACUGAUUAGGGCCAGUCACAUCAACUUGCCAUACUCAGCCCAACUGAUUAGGGCCAAUCACGUCAUCCUACCAUACUCGGCCCAACCAGUUAGGGUUGUUUGGGUUUUUAGGGUUCGACUUCGUCACCAUAUGUCUUGAUUUUAGUAUAUAUAAAGGUUGACUUGCCAUAAUUGGCUCAACUGAUUAGGGUCAGUAACGUCCACCUACCAUACUCGGCCCAAUUGAUUAGGGUCAGUCACGUCAUCCUGUCAUACUCGGCCCAACUGAUUAGGGCCAAUCACAUUAUCAUACUAUACUCAGCCCAACGAGUUAGGGUUGUCUGGGUUUUAGUGUUCGACUCAGUCACCAUAUCCUGUCAUACUUGGGUUUUAGUGUUGACUUGCCAUACAUGUCCCAACUGAUUAGGGUCAAUCACGUUCUCCGGUCAUACAUGGCCUAACUGAUUAGGGCCAAUCAUUAUCAACCAGCCAUACUCGGUCCAACUGAUUAGGGUCCGUCACGUCAACCUGUCAUACUCGGCCCAACUGAUUAGGGCCAGUCACGUCAUCCUGCUAUGCUCGGCCCAACUGAUUAGGGCCAAUCACGUCAUCCUACCAUACUCGGCCCAACCAGUUAGGGUUGUCUGGGUUUUAAGGUUUGACUUCGUCACCAUGUGCUUUGUAGUUUUGUCAAGUGUUCAACUAGCUCGAGCUAUCAGGUGAUUUAUUGUAGUUUCGUUUAUGACUUUGUCUGCAUACAGCAAGGCUAGUUCAUGUGGGGGUUUUACAGUCCUUGCUCACUGAUGAGUCGAUUUGAUUAGUGCUUUGGCAGAUGUGUUGUUUGCUUGUUAUUAUGAUUUCGUUUGUGAACUAGCCAUACAAUCUGGAUGGAUCUAUCUUCAUGUAGCUUAGCGAUGUUGAUAUUUUGAUGCUUUAUGCCAGUUCUAAGUGCAAUUUAUUGUCUGCAUCUAGAAGGCCUUAGUUCUUUUCGCCUCAUUUGUAGCUAGGGAAUUGAUGAAGAUUGGCUCUUAUUGAUAUAUUAGUAUAUUCUGUUCGGUAUCUGAAUCGUGGCUUGGGGUUUGAGCUUGGCAUAGGAUUGACUUUGUGCUAUUGGGCUUUGCGAGUCUAGAUUAGUUGCAGACUUGCAGUUUGGCGCUUUUGCUUUCAAUUUAUAUGUUCUGGUUUUGGUUAACUGGACACAAGUGCCCAUGAAUUAUUUGAUUUAACACACCCAUCUGCCAAUUUGGAUGGUGCUUACAUGUUUUGUAUCCGUUUUGGUAUUCAGAUCCUAAAAUUUAAAAUGUAUUUGCACAUGAAACUUAUAUGGCCCCUCCGUAUGGUUAUUUGCUGAUUUUAUGGUUCCUUCUGGAUCCUUGUCAUGAAUCGUGUUUUAGUAGUAUCCGUAGGACACCUGAAAUGUGCUUUGAGCAUUUUUGGACAUGGCCCAGGAAUUCACUUGAACACUAGUGAGCUCUGUGAGUCUAGAUUUUCGUUCUGGUUUAGUUUUUAUUCUCUAACUCUAUAUGUUCUUUGUUUUUU